CCUACCUCGUCCUGGCGUGGUUUUCGGCCCGGGAACGGCCGCCAUAGUGCAACGCGGCAGGGCGACUUCGCCUUGAUGCUUGACGGAAUCUUUCAAAUUCGAACGAACAUGUUCUGGAAUGCGACAGGCCCUGUGACGAAGCGUGAACAUCGGGCUGUUUGGGUGAAUCAAAACUAACAAAAAGCCCUUAUUUUAUCGAUGUAACAUACGAUUCACCGUUUCAAAUAAACCAUCUCUUUAUGCUGUUAUUUAAGCUGAUCUUCAAACGCCUCCCUUAGUUUGAACCUAUCAGGCGAGACAAAAGUUUCG
rnacentral:misc_RNA from 1 species